rnacentral:rRNA from 1 species
CCGGGGGGUUGCAGUAGCAGGGCGCCUGGUGAGUGGGAGGUUUUAAAAUAUGAAGGCGGGCUGGAACCUCUCGGGGUUACAGCCUUGCUGAAUUAUUCACCCUUGUCUUUUGCGUACUUCUUGUUUCCUUGGUGGGUUCGCCCACCACUAGGACAAACAUAAACCUUUUGUAAUUGCAAUCAGCGUCAGUAACAAAUUAAUAAUUACAACUUUCAACAACGGAUCUCUUGGUUCUGGCAUCGAUGAAGAACGCAGCGAAAUGCGAUAAGUAGUGUGAAUUGCAGAAUUCAGUGAAUCAUCGAAUCUUUGAACGCACAUUGCGCCCUUUGGUAUUCCAAAGGGCAUGCCUGUUCGAGCGUCAUUUGUACCCUCAAGCUUUGCUUGGUGUUGGGCGUCUUGUCUCUAGCUUUGCUGGAGACUCGCCUUAAAGUAAUUGGCAGCCGGCCUACUGGUUUCGGAGCGCAGCACAAGUCGCACUCUCUAUCAGCAAAGGUCUAGCAUCCAUUAAGCCUUUUUUUCAACUUUUGACCUCGGAUCAGGUAGGGAUACCCGCUGA